AUUGAACGCUGGCGGCAGGCCUAACACAUGCACGUCGAACGAGUGGCGGACGGGUGAGUAAUGUCUGGGAAACUGCCUGAAGGAGGGGGAUAACUACUGGAAACGGUAGCUAAUACCGCAUACCAUCAGAUGUGCCCAGAUGGGAUUAGCGUGUUGGUGGGGUAACGGCUCACCACAGCGACGAUCCCUAGCUGGUCUGAGAGGAUGACAAGCGCACCUGGAACUGAGACACGGUCCAGAAUCCUACGUGAGGCAGCAGUGGGGAAUAUUGCACAAUGGGCGCAAGCCGGAUGAAGCCAGGCGGCGUGUAUGAAGAAGGCCUUCGGGUUGUAAAGUACUUUCAGCGGGGAGGCGUUACCCGCAGAAGAAGCACCGGCUAACUCCGGGCCAGCAGCCGCGGUAAUAC
rnacentral:rRNA from 1 species